ACAACACACAUGUAAACCUAACCCUGCUCUGUACCGCCACCCGACCUGCGCGCCGCCACCCCCGACUUGCGCACCGCCGGCAGAACCAGCCGGCCGGUCCCCUCGCACCACCACUGACCCUCGGUCUCCCUUCGCUUAGCCUGCAGUAGCAGAAGCGCCGUCCGCGACGGAGGAGCAUCGUCCGCCACCGAGGAGCAGCAGCGCCAUCCGCCGCCAAGGAUCCCCCGCGCCGGGAAGCAGUAGGACUGUCCGCCCGAGGAUCCGCGGCCCCGACUGCUGCUGAGGAGCCGCCCGCCAUUCCUCUUCCAACAUAGGCAACGCCUGUCCCGGUUGACUCCAGUUACCUAGCACCUCCUCCAGAUCUUAACUGAUUCUGAUAUUGCCUACACCAGGGCACAAUGAUGAAUUCUAGGAAGGAUGCUCAUGGAAGGAAAGGCUAUGUUGUCUUAACAAGGAUGAAAAGUAUAACAACAUACACAAACGAACAUGGACAACCCAGAUCUGGACAGAUGGGACCUGGAAGAUACACCAGAAACAGAAGAAAAAGUUCUCAAAAUUGCGAAAGAGCGAUAUAGAGGCUGGCGAUCAACUAUAAGCUCCACUUACAAGGCAUACAAAACAGAUGCAGCUAUAUUGGCUAAUCUGCCGGAAGAUUUACAAUCAGAAUAGUGGGAAUGGAUGAUUGACUACUUUGUCAUUGAUUCAUAAUUUCAGGUUAUCUCUAAGAUCACUCUUUGUCUACUAUGUGUUAAGGUGAAAUUGCUUUUCAGGUUAUAUUUGGUUUCGAUGAAUUGAUAGGAACGCAACCGAAAGAACACUGGUAAUCGUAAGAAAUAGAAGACAACACACAUAAUUGGAUCAAAACCUUACUCGCAACUAAGUUUUGAGAAGAGAAACUCGGAAACUGGAGAAGAGCCGGAUUGGAUUGCUCUGUGGGAACACACCCACACAAAGAAUGGAACAUGGUCUAACAGAGUCCUAGGAUGUCUAUGAUCCAAAGAACUAGCUCGACUGGACUCUAGAUCACAGACAAUUUAGUCUUGGCACUUAAUUAGGAUGGCUAAACUACAUUUGAGUCUCAUUUGAUGGAUAUUUGCUAUGAGAAUUAUGAAUUUUAUGAAUCUACAUAUUAUACGUAUGGUUUUGAAUGUUGUAAUUAAAUGCUUGUAUUUUUUUUAGGUUGCAAUAGGCUAUUGCCACAACCCACUUUUGGUUGCCACAUGUUAGCACCACGAAAAUUUAAAUUGUCGCAAUAGUUUCUCGCUACAAACAUUUCACCUGUGGUGAUACCUAUUUAUCACCACCAAAACUAGUAUGUUGCAAUUUCCUGUUACGACGACUAGAAUAU